CUCCAAGCCGUUUGGACCGUCGACUUUUAAUUUGUUGGGUCAUUAAAAUUUACUUAAAAUAUUAAUGUGUGUAAUUUUUGUCACCGGUUUGGUUUGUUAGGAUUGCGGAAUGUGUCAAUUAAACGCAAUCAACAACGCACAGAUUUCGUGAAGAUUGGAAGCAAUUCAAAGACAACGGACAACAUACAAAAUCCGAAACAUGUGUUAUGCAAAUGUUUACAUUUUUUCGUUUUGUUUCCACUUUGGCAAUUCCCCGUUUAUUGUGGUUUCGAAUUGGAAUUGGGUUGGUCGCCGCUAAGUGUGAGAACGCGUGAGAGAGUGCAGGGUGCUCCAGUGAGCAAAACGAACGAAUGAACAAGAGCGGGAGGAAGAAUAGCGAACAAGGCUGAAAUCUUAUCAACGCGAGCGAGCGAGAGAGAGAGAGAGCCAAUUUCAAAUACAAAUAUUUCAAUUCCAAUGAAGAUCCCAACUCACAUAUCGGUUUCUGUUGUUAAUAUUCUAUUGUGUGUACGGAAAAAAAAGAAGCCAUUAUUUGGCAAAUUUAAACUUUUUUAUACACAGAUUUUGUAUUUCACGAUGCGAUGUGCUCAAUGCCUCGCCAAACACUGGAGUUUAUCGCCUGUAAACAUGACGAAUAUUUAUUGCUUGAUAACUUGCUUGCACUAGCUACCGCGAUUAAACAUAUGCACGGACCGAAAAACAAAAAUGAUUGCUGAACGACUUACAACAAAACCAAUGCCGGAUAAACACAGCACCACCAAAUGGCUAACGUUAUUACAUCAUUGCCGUUUUUUUUAUGGACCAAAAAAUUUGAUUGAAUCAAAAACUGAAUCUUAACUAAUUUAAACGUAUACGCAAUAUUUCUGUGAACCAUCAGUCAGCCAGCCAGCCAGCCGUACUUUCAAUUUGGAGCGAUAUCUAUGAAUAUCAC